rnacentral:rRNA from 1 species
UGGGGAAUAUUGCACAAUGGAGGGAACUCUGAUGCAGCGACGCCGCGUGAGUGAUGAAGGAAUUCGUUUCGUAAAACUCUGUUCUAUGGGAAGAAAAGGACUGUACCAUAGGAGAAAGCUCCGGCUAAAUACGUGCCAGCAGCCGCGGUAAUACGUAUGGAGCGAGCGCUGUCCGGAAUUAUUGGGCGUAAAGGGUGCGCAGGCGGCUUUACAAGUUGGAUGUGAAAUAUUGUGGCUCAACCACAAACGUGCAUCCAAAACUGCAAAGCUUGAGUUAAGGAGAGGUAAGUGGAAUUCCUGGUGUAGCGGUGGAAUGCGUAGAUAUCAGGAGGAAUACCGGUGGCGAAGGCGACUUACUGGACUUAAACUGACGCUCAGGCACGAAAGCGUGGGGAGCAAACAGG